UAGCUCAACUGGUAGAGCAUGGCAUUGACAUUGCCAUGGUUAGGGUUUCCAUUCUCACUGGAACUGCCA